rnacentral:lncRNA from 1 species
UGUCACACGGAGAAAUAUUCUUUUAAGGAAGAUUGAAGAUUUAAGAUGGAAUGGAAGAGAAGAAGGAUAAAAAUAGUCAAGAGUGCGAGCAAUAAGAUAUGUGGAUUCGGUGCCGGCUUUGAAGACUUCUUAGGCUGCCCACGCUUUUCGGAGGCUUCGUAGCUACGGCUUUCGGGCGGUGCGAGGAUGUCUACCCACG